UGGGGAAUAUUGGACAAUGGGGGCAACCCUGAUCCAGCGAUGCCGCGUGUGUGAAGAAGGCCUGCGGGUUGUAAAGCACUUUAGUUGGGGAGGAAAGGUAUGUACUGCAUAAGUGCAUGCUGUGACGUUACCCAAAGAAUAAGCACCGGCAAACUCUGUGCCAGCAGCCGCGGUAAUACAGAGGGUGCAAGCGUUAAUCGGACUUAUUGGGUUUAAAGGGUGCGUAGGUGGCCCUGUAAGUCAGUGGUGAAAUAUCUCAGCUUAACUGAGAGGGUGCCAUUGAUACUGCAGGGCUUGAGUACAGAUGAGGUAGGCGGAAUUGACGGUGUAGCGGUGAAAUGCAUAGAUAUCGUCAAGAACACCGAUAGCGAAGGCAGCUUACCAAGCUGUAACUGACACUGAGGCACGAAAGUGUGGGGAUCAAACAGGAUUAGAUACCCACGUAGUCCCUGAGCGGGCUGGCAAGGCGCAU
rnacentral:rRNA from 1 species